AGACAGGCGGCUCAUGAACUUG
rnacentral:siRNA from 1 species